rnacentral:misc_RNA from 1 species
AUGCGAUACGUAAUGUGAAUUGCAGAAUUCAGUGAAUCAUCGAAUCUUUGAACGCAUAUUGCGCUCUUUGGUAUUCCGAAGAGCAUGCUUGUUUGAGUAUCAGUAAACACCUCAAAACUCUUGAUCUUUUUCAAGCGUUUUGGACUUGAGCAAACCCAACGCCUUUUCUUUUAAGAUCUGUUGCGGCGGGUUGCUUGAAAUGCAGGUGCAGCUGGACAAUCUCCUGAGCUAAAAGCAUAUUUAUUUAGUCCCGUCAAACGGAUUAUUACUUUUUGCUGCAGCUAACAUAAAGGGAAUUUUGACCAUUAUGGCUGACUGAUGCAGGAUUUCACAGAGAAAAGGCCGGCAACGGUUUUGUCUCUGUCAAACUCGAUCUCAAAUCAAGUAAGACUACCCGCUGAACUUAA